GAGGCCCCCAUUACACGAUUAGCACCUCGCCAGACGCACACAAGCAGCCGUUCAUAGAGGUCCGGAAUGUGACGUACCAUGGCAGCGGGCCCAGAGAGGAGGCCCGGGCCAUGUGCUCCGUCCGCACGCAAGAGGUUAACGCCACCGCCAACGCUACCAUCACAAGGAGGCUGCAUGGAGUCGUCACGUCAAGAGAACUCCACAGCGCUAUACAGCGACUGGAAGUGAUAAUAUUCGGGCAAAUGCAGCAACUCUGGCAGAGUCUAGAUGCGCUCCGCGGCCAUCUUGCGGGUGACACUCGUACUGCGCGCACGGCAUUCCCUGACCGAAGAUCUAUCGCGUUCCGAUACAAACCGGGCAUGUAGUUUAAGAAUAACUUGUGUCAAUAGCAUAAGGUUUAUUAUAAUGUACCUACCUUCUAUCUACCUCUUUCGCAGCUGUACCAACCAAUUGCCACCGGUGUAGAUUUUUUAGGAUUUUUAAUUUAUUUUAGAAUAGAUCUCAAUAAGUGUCAUAGAAAAGUUUCAUUUCCGAAAUUGUUUACCAGCUUCCAGCUUGUCUACCAGCUUUAUUUUACUUUGGGUGGAUCAAUGUCUUCCUAAAAUGUUAUUGUCGAAGCCCUAAUUUCACCUAACAUUCUUACUUACGUUUCAUUAUUACUUUUGGGGCAAAGGAAAUCAAAUUAAAAACGGCACGUAAUAAAUUUCAAUUUAUUAACAAUUAGUAACUGAAUAGUUCAGGUUUACACGGUCCAGUUCAAUCGUACGAUCCGUAGCAUGAACUUGACCGUGUAAUAACAAUAAAAAUACUUCGUUAGUUACAAUAGUUAAGUUAAUUAAAUGAUUAUAAGCCUAAAUGCCAUUAAUAAAUAUUAACAAAUAAACAAUUUAUUAUGUUUCCCUUAAGAUUAAUAUUUUGCAUUAAUAUGUAUGUACUCGUAGAAAACGGGAGAUUCGAGAGAUUAAAGAUUUUUGAAUCUUUACCUUAUAAUAAAUGGACGGAUUGUCAAGAGA